GCAGCCAGCACCUCAACACAUUCUGACAUCAUCUGGAAAAGCAUGAGAAGAGUUUUCUGCUGGGGAACACCUUGUUUGAUUAAGUUGAUGGCCAUUGUGGCUGGUGCGGCACUGUGCCUGAUGAUGUGCUGUGCAGCAAUCUGGUAUUGCUGGAAGAGAAAAUCGUGCUCCUGUGCAUCUUCAGAAAAUUAUCCUAAAAAUAGAGACAACGACAACUUGACAAUAUAACCCAGCUCUUCACUUCUGCCCCUAUCUGCCCUGCCGUGGCUGCACCACCAUAAUGAAGGCAUCCCCAAAUCCAUCCCUCCUCAACGAGACCCUCUGCCCCGGAGUCCCCUGGUCCUGUUCCCCGGCCAGGACUGAAGGUGGGCAGCCCUUGUCUGGCAGGGCAGGGCUUGGCCCCUAUUUUAUGUUUAAAUAAAGAAAUAGAGUUUUCACAGCUA